rnacentral:lncRNA from 1 species
AUGGUGUGUGAAAAGUGUGACAUAUGGAAAGAUGGUGCCCGGAACACCACAGAGAGUGGUGGGAGGAAGCUGAACGAAAAUAAAGCUUUGACUUAAAAAAAAAAGCAAUGUUUGAUCCAUAUGGAAAAAAUAAGUUCUCCACUUCCAGGAUUUGUAAAAGUUCUGUACACCUGUCAGAUUCUCCUUACUGUCAAGGCUGUGCCUACAGAAAAGGCAUCUGUGCGCUGUGUGGCAAAAGGUUUUGGAUGCUAAAAACUACAAGCAGACUUCCGGGUAG